rnacentral:rRNA from 1 species
AGAGCGAACGCUGGCGGCAGGCCUAACACAUGCAAGUCGAGCGCCCGUAGCAAUACGGGAGCGGCAGACGGGAUAGUAACACGUGGGAACGCGCCCUUCGGUUCGGAAUAACUCAGGGAAACUUGAGCUAAUACCGAAUACGCCCUUACGGGGAAAGAUUUAUUGCCGAAGGAACGGCCCGCGUCCGAUUAGCUAGUUGGUGAGGUAAUGGCUCACCAAGGCUACGAUCGGUAGCUGGUCUGAGAGGAUGACCAGCAUCACUGGGACUGAGACACGGCCCAGACUCCUACGGGAGGCAGCAGUGGGGAAUAUGGACAAUGGGCGCAAGCCUGAUCCAGCCAUGCCGCGUGGAUGAUGAAGGCCUUAGGGUUGUAAAGUCCUUUUAACGGGGAAGAUAAUGACGGUACCGUAGAAUAAGCCCCGGCUAACUUCGUGCCAGCAGCCGC